CCCUUUUUAAAAGCAUUCAGUGGCCUUUUGCUAGUGACCCACUGAGCCAUCCUGAAGGGGCAGAGUGAAAACAUCACUUUUGGGAGAAGUGGUAACGCGCUGUUUGCUUCAGUCAAUGUUGUGACAAGA
ensembl:snoRNA LOC120093425 small nucleolar RNA SNORA21